CCGUAAACUAUUCAUUCAAUUAAAUAAUUCUUGGACCUCGUGCACGAUUUUUUUAUGGAGAAGAUGAAACGAAGCAUGUGGGCACAACAAAGUGAUUUUCCACUACCACUGUAAACUACACAACAAAGAUUCUGCUACGAAUGCUACCGAAGCAAAGUUUACGAAUUAGCAUAUGCUGUACAGAAAUACUUUACUCACGUCUGUGGUUCUUCGCCCUUUUCGCCUUGUGAGUUGAUACGAACUUCUUAGGGGCUUAGGCGCGAAUUUCCUCAUCGAAAGUUUCCCGCCAAUGACUAGGAGGGAUAUUACAUGCGACAAAGUAAAGGUUUAAAUAUGUGAAAGCGAAGUAAAUAAACAGUUAUUAUUGUAUUAUAAAUUAUAAUUUGACAAAAUGGAUUGUAUUUUAAAUGUCUCACAUCCAUAAUACAAGUUGAAAUAUU